rnacentral:ncRNA from 1 species
AGAAAACUUGGUUCUAGUUUCUCUUCUAGCUCUAUUUCGUCUGCCACAUGCAAACAAAAAGUAAUCCAGCAGAAGACCCCUACGCCUAGUAAAGGAGAGAGGAAGCAUAAGUCAAACGACAAAAGCAUAGAAUAAACCUGCGGACAGCAGUGCUUAACAUUGUACAAUUUAAGACAUUAAGAUACAGACAGAAAUAAAAGAAGCGGCAAAUACCGUGCCAGCAGCCGCGGUUACACGUUAGCUUCCAGUUAAAAGAGUCCGGUCCAAAGAAUGGAAGGCUAAGCAUCCUCAGUAAGGAAAGAACAAAAGCAGUAAUAAGCCAAGCUCUCCCGUAACUUCGCUGAAAAGCCCACCUUCAAAGAUAAGAUAUAAACUAGGAUUAGAUACCCUACUAUACUUUUCCCCCACUUCACAACCCACCAGAGCAGUACGACUCGGUUAAAACUUAAAGAACUUGGCGGUUUUCUAGAUCUUCUUGGAGGAGCUUGUCAUCGAAUUGAUAAUCCACACGACACCUUACCUCUCCUAGAUUCCAGCUUGUAUACCAUCGUCGUCAGUUCACCUCGAGAGAGUGUGAGCAAAAUGAACAAACUUCAUAACGUCAGAUCAAGGUGCAGCCAAUGGAAAGGGGAUAGAUGAGCUACAAUACUUUAGAAAUCGAGGAAGUUAUGAAUGAAAUAACUAACCGAAAGAGGAUUCAACAGUAAUGAUUUAAAAAAAGAAUUUAUGAAGCAAGCUCUAGAAUGCGCACACAUCGCCCGUCACUCUCCUCUAACGAGCAGAAAAGUCGUAACAUAGUAGGUGUACCGGAAGGUGCAACCUGGAACAAA